rnacentral:rRNA from 1 species
GACGAACGCUGGCGGCGUGCUUAACACAUGCAAGUCGAACGAUGAACUUGGAGCUUGCUCUGGGGGAUUAGUGGCGAACGGGUGAGUAACACGUGAGUAACCUGCCCUGGACUCUGGGAUAACUUCGAGAAAUCGGAGCUAAUACCGGAUAGGACCGUGCACCGCAUGGUGCGGGGGGGAAAGUUUUUCGGUUUGGGUUGGACUCGCGGCCAAUGAGCUUGUUGGUGAGGUAAUGGCUCACCAAGGCGUCGACGGGUAGCCGGCCUGAGAGGGUGACCGGCCACACUGGGACUGAGACACGGCCCAGACUCCUACGGGAGGCAGCAGUGGGGAAUAUUGCACAAUGGGCGCAAGCCUGAUGCAGCAACGCCGCGUGAGGGACGACGGCCUUCGGGUUGUAAACCUCUUUUAGUAGGGAAGAAGCGAAAGUGACGGUACCUGCAGAAAAAGCACCGGCUAACUACGUGCCAGCAGCCGCAGUAACAC